GGGGCCUUGGGGUCGGGAGCAGAGCUAGCUGGAGCGCGAUCCUGUCUGACCCAGCGGAGUGCAGCCUGCGGCCCUGCUCCUUACUGGCCAGCAUGUCCUUCGUCGCGGUGGCCGAGGAUUCUGACUUCCCCAUCCACAACCUGCCGUACGGCGUCUUUUCCACCCCAGGCAACCCAAGGCGGAGGAUCGGCGUGGCCAUUGGCGACCAGAUCCUGGACCUCAGUGUCAUUAAGCACCUCUUCACUGGGCCUGUCCUCUCCAAACACCAGGAUGUCUUCGAUCAGCCCGCUCUGAACAGCUUCAUGGGCCUGGGCCAGGCUGCCUGGAAGGAGGCGAGAGCGUUCUUGCAGAACCUGCUGUCCACCAGCCACACCAGGCUGCGAGACGACACGGAGCUUCGGAGACGUGCGUUCACUGCCCAGGCCUCUGCUGUGAUGCACCUGCCGGCCACCAUAGGUGACUACACGGACUUCUACUCCUCCCGGCAGCAUGCCACCAACGUGGGGAUCAUGUUCCGCGGCAAGGAGAACGCGUUGAUGCCGAAUUGGCUGCACAUUCCCGUGGGCUACCACGGCCGCGCCUCCUCCGUCGUCGUGUCCGGGACCCCGAUCCGCAGGCCCAUGGGGCAGAUGAGCCCCGAUGACUCUAAGCCUCCUGUCUAUGGCGCCUGCAAGCUGUUGGACAUGGAGCUGGAGAUGGCUUUCUUUGUAGGCCCUGGGAACAACUUUGGAGAGCCGAUCCCCAUUUCCAGGGCCCAUGAGCACAUUUUUGGAAUGGUUCUUAUGAACGACUGGAGCGCUCGGGACAUUCAGAAAUGGGAGUAUGUCCCUCUUGGGCCGUUCCUUGGCAAGAGUUUUGGAACCACCAUCUCUCCGUGGGUGGUGCCCAUGGAGGCCCUCAUGCCCUUUGCCGUGCCCAACCCAGAGCAGGACCCCAGGCCCCUGCCAUAUCUCCGCCACGACCGGCCCUACACGUUCGACAUCAGCCUCUCUGUCACCCUGAAAGGAGAAGGAAUGAGCCAGGCAGCCACCAUCUGCAAGUCCAAUUUUAAGUACAUGUACUGGACGAUGCUCCAGCAGCUGACCCACCACACCGUCAAUGGCUGCAACCUUCGCCCAGGGGACCUGUUGGCUUCUGGAACCAUCAGCGGGGCCGGAGCCAGAGAGCUUUGGCAGCAUGCUGGAGCUGUCGUGGAGGGGGACAAAGGCCAUUGAGCUGGGGCACGGACACACCAGGAAGUUCCUGCUGGACGGUGAUGAAGUCAUCAUAACAGGCCACUGCCAGGGGGACGGGUACCGCAUCGGCUUUGGCCAGUGUGCUGGAAAAGUGCUGCCUGCCCUCUUGCCCGCGUGACCUUCUCUGCGUGGCUGGACGUGAGGAGCUCCCCGCCCCCGCCUGGGGCGUCAGCGGCCGUCUGUGGGGCUGUGGGCCUGGCUCUUCAUCAGGGGUAAAUAAAGCCGGUGUGCUCGGCCUUCACGCUCUAUGCCCCGUGCCGUCUCCGUGUGUGAGGUCCACUCGCGUUCUUGAUUUGAUCCAGAGGGUCCUUGAGAGACACUCAUUUGUUUCCUUGUUCGUACGAGUGGUGCUCAUCACACGUCCUUCCCAUCACACAUCCCGGCCCUCCCAGCGUUCCCUGGAGUGUGGGAAGAGUGCAGCACCUACACCAGCUAGGAUCCUCAGAGGAACAGAAACGAGAGGAUAUGUAUGUAUAGAGAGAGAUUUAUUUUAAGGAAUUGGCUUGUGAUUGUGGAGGCUGGCAAAUCCAAAAUUUGCAGGGUGGGCCGGUAGGCUGGAGACCCAGGGAAGAGUUGCAGUUUGAGUCUGAAGGUGGUGUGCUGCGGAAUUCGCUCCUCCUCUGGGGAGAUCAGGCCUUUUUCUUGUAAGGCCUUCAACUGAUUAGAUGAGGCCCACCCACAUUUUGGAAGGUAAUCUGCUUUACUCAAAGUCCACUCACUCAAAUGUUAAUCUCAUCUGAAAAAUGCCUCCACAGCAGCAUCUAGACUGAUGUUGGACCAAACAUGUGGGUAUCGUGGCCCAGCCAAGUUGACACAUAAAGUCAUCACAGCACCCCACACGUCCUUGGGGGCUGACUCGUGGGGGUACAUGAGGUGCGGACUCGGUCCACGGGCACUGUGGCUGUCUCGGCACAUUGUAAGUCUUGGGUGGAGCCCCCAGGUUGUGGGCACAGACACCUGAACUGUGAGAGGGCAGAAAGGGGGCCAAGGGGGCUCACUUUGCUUCCCUUGUAAGCCCAUGAGAAUCAGGAGAGUGAGCCCUACCCACGGCAGACAAGCAGCCCCAGCCCCAGCCUGGUUCCUGGUCCCCACGGUGACUUCUCUGGAGCUGGUGGACCACAGCAGAGCCUGGGAGCAGGACCAAGCAUGCAGAGCCUGUCCGUCAGAUCAUGCCAUCCAUUCAUUCCUGAAAUCUUUGUCGAGUGCCCUGUGUCCAACGCUGUUCUGAGCACAAGAGAUGCUGCAGAGCACAGAGUAGCCCAGCCUCGGCCCUUGUGGUGCUCACUUGCCAGCGGGAGGCAGACAGACUAAAUAAGUAAAGGGACAAGGAAAAGACAGACCGCGUGUAGGGUGGCGAUGAGGUCUCCGGAGCACUGGGGGACGUGGGUGUUACUAUAAGCAGGGUGGUCAGGGAAGGCUUAUGUCUUAGAUUCUUAGUGCUUUCCUGCCAGGCAGCCGGAGGGAGGCAGCCAGCUGGAUGGCUCUCUACAGAGAGAAUGCUCCAGGUAGAGGGAGUAGUCAGGGCAAAAAAGCCCCAAGGAUGGGACAUCGAGGAGGCUAAUAUUUCUCCCAUGAAAGCAUUCCAGGGCCGGGAAGUCUGGAGUUUGUAAGGUGACGUCACAGUGUCAUGGAGAGCCCACAGUGCUCAUCCUCAGCAUGUGGUUUUCAUCCUCAAGGCCGCCUCGUGGUACCAAAGGCUGCUGGAGCUCCAGCAACUAUGCCCAAAUUCCAGGCCUGCAGAAAAAAGAAAUCAAGAGGUUUGGGGCGUGGUGGAGAGGAUAGAAGCACCUCCUUCCGGCUGAGUUAUGUCACUUUAAGCAGCCUCCCUGGGAGUUCCACAUCACACUUUUCACCCGAUUUCAUCGGCAAGAACUUAGUCACAAGACCACACCUCAUUGCGAGGGAGUCUGCGGAUGCAGUCUUUAGCUGAAUGCAUGGUUUCUUCAGUUGAAACCAGAGCUCAAUGGCUAAAGAAGAGGAGGGGAAUGGAUACUGGGGGGCCGCUGGUGGUCUCUGUAGCCCGCAGGGAGGCCUCACGCUCGGAGGUGGACCUGCUCUCACGCAGUUGACUCUUUCAUGGAGCCGAGCCCUGGGCCAUAGUCUCCAAUCGUUGCUGAUUUCAGUGGAAAUCCUGUAUAGCUCGGAUGGUGGGGGGUGGGGGCUGGGGGGGGACUCCCCCCCCGACCCCCACCAUCUAGAUAAGAUUGAUCCAAAUACUUUCUGAAUUUGAAAGGCCAGACCCUUCCUGCGGAUUUCUCUGCAUUUCCGGGGGCUUGUGUUCCCAGGGUCACCUCUGUGCUGUCGGCUGCGCCGGCAUCCUGUUCUCCACCCUGUGUUCGAGGUUGUUCCUUUAGUCCUGUCUCCUGGCAUCAGUUGGCAUGGGGUAUUCAUCCUUCUUUGCCUUGGAGGCCUGACGUCACUGUGGCUGAACACCUGCUAUACACGGAAGAGCAUUCCCGGAGGUCUCCGGCUCACGGACAAAGGCCAUUUAAAAUCAGUAUUCAUGCCCUUGGCCCCGCUGGUGCCGGGGAAUGCUGGUAUCAGCUAUGGAGACCACGCAUUUAUCCCCUGGCCAUGCGCUUACUGUGCUUCUGGGGGUGGGUGGUGCGGGGAAAUCUGCUGGAUGGGGCUGCAGAGCCCAGCACACCGGGCAGGCGAUGCUGGCCGUCAUCCGAGCCCCGGACGCAUCCACCAGCCAGAGCAGGAGGUCUCAGCCCGGCUACUUCCUGGGCUCCCUCCAGCCUGGACACCUCCUCGGCCUGCAGCCCCCCUGCUCCCCAGGCUCCAGGAAUGCCCGGGCGGCCCCAGAUGACCAGUGAAUGAGUGGUCUAUGCUUUGGGAGCCAAGCUUAUUGAAAGGACAAGAAAUACACAAAAAUGGCAUUCGUGGCCUUUGUUUGACAGUGGUCUGUCAUGAACUAGAGGCCUUUUGAAACCGUGGACGGAGUUUGCAGAUUUGGUGGCUAUAGUCCGAGGAUGAGGUUAGCCUCAGGCCAAGACCAGAUUUGGGGGGACAAGGGAGCUUUAGGAUUUUAAGUACCAUAUUGAUUUUACAUCAAAGAUUCCUGACGCAAAAUGGAUCUCAAAAGUGGCUAUAUUUUUUUUCUUUCUUUAGUUUGGAAGCGUAUGUUUUUAGCGCCCUCAGGAAAAAUGAACGUGACAGGGUUGCCUUCCAAAGCAUGAGUCUGUCUCUUGUAUCUGCCCCUUUCCUGCCCCCUCGGCAGGACCCUGGGCCUGGGGGAGAGGCGGGAAGGACCCAGAGGAGCCACUGAUCUAUGGGAGAAGGCAGGGAGUGGGUGCUUCUUGCAGAUUCUGCUGUUUUGUUUGUUUGGUUUGGUUUUUCAUGGUCUCAGAGACUAAGACUGGGGCCAGGAUUAUUCAGGGACUGUGCCGACAACACACCCAAGAGCUGGAGUCUGCCUUCUCCAGAGGCUAAGCUCCCGAGGGCAGAGUUAGCUGCAGCUCGAGGAAGGUUCUCCAUGACCUGGCACAGUGCCUACCCAGCACAGAGUAGGCACUCGGCAUAUAUUUGCUUAAUGAAUGAGUAUCUGGGGGAUCACUGCGGACAGGCUUAUGUCGCAUUCCUAGGCCCGCCCGUAAGCCAGGAGACACCUGGAGACCCACUUCUGCCGCCGUGUUUAAGAGGUGUAAGUCAGGCUACAUACUUAAAGACAUCCUGUUCCUCCGGCCUCGAGGUAUGUUUUCAUAAUGACAACACAAAAAUAGUUGCAGAGCCAUCUCUGGUUUCUGUAUGAUUGAAAAUUGGCAAGACACCAAGCAUAGCAAUUUGCUUAUUUUUCUUUUUUUAAUUGAAGAAUAAUUAACAUACAGGGUUCUAUUAGUUUUAGGCGUAGAGUGUAGAGAUUCAGCAUACAUCACCCGUGCGCAUCACGGCGAGUCCCUCUUGAUCCCCCGCUUCUGGGGCACCUCUCCUCCCCUCGCCGCCCCUCUGACCAUCAGUCUGUUCUCAUAUCAAACAUAACAGUUCAAUCAUUGCGCGUGAGCAGCGCCGGGCGGGGGCAGUUUGGGAUGAGCGUUAAAGACAUACAAAUUCAUGAGUUCUGUAAAUAUUUUUAAAUAAAAUUUUUAAAAUUUAAAAUUUAUCACUCUUGCCUGAAUUUCAUUAGAAUCACUAAUUAUUGUGUCAUAAUCAAGCUUUUGACAUAACUUGGGUUUUACUGAGAGACUAACUGAUUAGAAACUAAAGUGAAUUAUACUCAAAAUGUACAAAAUGUAAAUAGUCUCACAAAACUCUGACGUUUAAAAUUUGCAAAAUAAAAUUUAUUUUAUAUGCAUUUUUCAGUUAUUUUUCUUUGAUAAUAUUCAAAAUCUCCAUUAAAAUUAAAGGCAAGAUACAAAUUAUAAUUGAAGAAUAUUAACAUUGCAUAUCAAAGUUAUCUAAAUCAAGCUGAAAUGUUUAAAUUUAUUUUUAAAAAAUUUAAAUCCUUUUACACACUUUUCAUAAACAUAAAACGAUUUGCAAUCCUAGUGUUCAGUGUCCGUCCAGUUGCCACAGUAAAUAAUUAGUAUCACUCUUCCUGUGUCAUGAUGAGGCCUAACGUAUCUCUAAAUUAAUAUGAACGCAUUAAUACUGCAAAAUGUGCCCUAAUUGCUACGUGUGGCUGUUGUGACUACGAGACUAAUCUGUGUCUCCAGAAGCACAAACUGGACAAAGAGCAAGAAAACAGAUGUUUGGUGCGGCUGCAAAAUGCUUCUGGUGUGGGCCUGAGUCCGUUGCAUCGUGCUGGGGUAUUGAACCAGCUGACACACCAUCUUUCCUUUACCCACUUUCUCUUUACCGCUGCCCUGGCUCCCUACGGCAGGGGAGGGACGGGCCCACCUCCCGCGGUGGCCGUGACCCACCACAGACCCGCGUUUAUUUGGACGCGGUGCGGGCGUGGGGAGAGGCUGCACCUGGGGCCCGGCCAGUGUCACUCAUGGGAGGGGCACCUGAAGCGCUGGUCGCUACACCAGGCGGACCGUCGAGGGACAGAGGAGCCCCUGUGACCCUUACGUGAAUGUGUGCUUGUCUGUCAUGUUGCUGGGCCCCCCAAAGCAUGAGUCCCGGGCAAGGACACCCCUACCCAGGAUCAAGGGCAGGACCGCUGCCGUGCCUCCCUUUCUGGGCCCCUACGUUGUCUCUGACAGUUUUUGUGCGACAAAGAGGCUUGUUCCCUUCACCAUCUGAGAGUGGCAUUUCUGAGACGGACUCCAAAACUUCGAGCCUCGAGGGCGACACUUCUCUCCGGCCGGCAGAUUCUCCUACGGUGGUUGGAACUUUGCCCUGGAGCCACGGUUUGUGCGCAAACCCUGUCACACGGGAGCUGCUCACAAAUGUGGGCGGCGUUGUCCUCGCCAAGUGCCCUGCUUCACGGCUCAACACCAAGCUCCCCUCCCAAAUCAGAGGCGCACUUGAUCUGCUCACAGGAUGUUCCUUACAGCACUGCUGAUGGAGCCCAGGCUCCAGCCUCCUGGGCGCCCAGUCCCUUAGCCUCUGGCCACAGUUCCGAGCCCCCUCUCUACCUACAGGGUGAAGUCUGACGUCUCCCCACUUCAUGGGCUAACUGAUGUGCCCUGGGGGUGGCUUAUCAUAUGCAGGUGGAUUAUUUGGGGGGGGGGGUGUCGACGAGCUGCUUCCCUGUGUGGUCAGGCUGAAGGGUUCCCAGUUCCAUUGUCUGUCUUGACUAUGUGUGUCAGGCAAGAAGACACUCUUUCUCUUGGAGAAAGGAAUACAGCAGGACUUAGCCAGGGUCCCCCUGGCUUUGGUGCAGCCGCUGGAGAGAGAGAGAGAGAGAGAGAGGACCAAACUGCCUUAGAAGCCCAAGGGGCAUCGAGGACGGCUGCUCCAGUCCUCUUUCCCAAAUAUUUAAGUUAGAAAAUCGGUUUUGGUGCACUAGCUGGGCCACGCCUCAGCUCUAUUGUCAAGGAAGAACACCCAGGGCCCAGUGCAGGUGAUGCUCCGUUUGUCUCCCUGCAUCUGUUCUCCAUCCUUCUCUGCCCGGCUGCCUCCCGGGAGGCUGGCCUCUGUGAAUGACGUCACCCAGGCUCACGGCCUCCAGCUUCUGGUUGAGAUUGGGCAGCGGAGGCUCAGGCAGAGAGUGGAAGGCAGGAGGAGAAAAGCCAGGAGUAUUUGUUCUCCUCACUCCUUCCCUUCUGGGCCACCGUUUUAGGGUGGCUGUGUCCUGCUGGGUCCCUCUACUGUGGCUCAUGGCUCCUGUGGGCAGCAUGGCCCCCACCCCCCAAGCAAGGAGUGGCGAUGGCUUCCCAUCGUCAUCGAUCCUGGGUCAUUCACCAGCCCUUGCUGGUUCUCUUAAACCUAUCUGUGCUUCUGAUAAUAGUCCCUGAAUUAAGCCGUCUUCAAUGAAUCUUUUGAGCACACAAAGGAAUGUCUGGAAUGAUGUCUGGAAUUUCCCUGGAAUAUUGCAGAGGAAGGAGUCUGAGGGCUCAGGGAGAUGGGACUGUUGGAGUGAGUCCAUUCUGUGCGACUGACGGGUCCAAUCACCCCAAAACCAACCUCCCUGCAGGGCCCUGAGGCCAAUUCCAUCACAAAGGCAUUAAGAAUGCAUUAGUAAGGGUGGGGGUCCCCAGCAUUCUUGAAGAACUCUCCUUCAGUUCGGAGACAGUGUUGAGAGAUGAGGUUCCCAGAUGUCAGCGGUAAUAAUGGGGUCCCACGGACUGGAAGGGGCCAAGGUGGUACAGGAGACCCAAUGGUACAGGGAGUGUCUGUGGCAGACAGGGAUACCGUGUGGAGCUUCUAACCAUCCCCAGCAGGAGAAUCAGAGUGCUGGCCCAACUGGAGAAGAUUCAGGAAGAGAAGAUUCAGGGCCAUCUUGGGGAGAUGUAUGCAGAAGGACAUCUUUGAAAAGGUCUUAAAUGUGAAGAUAUUCAUGUGCCAACGAAAUGCCCAUCAGAAGACAUCCACGCGGAGAAGGCUCUCGAUAAUCAGACAUGCAACCUGCCAAUGAGUGAGGCCAAUCUUCAGCCCCAGAUUGCAUUCCCUCCCAUGGCCCGCGUCCAGAUGCCUUUAUUGUCCCCAAAUACCACUGCCGCAGGAUGGACUGGGGAGCAGACUCUGCUGAGGGUCUGGAGGGACCUGGGGGAGCUGAGCAGAGCACAGGGCAGGUGACAGCCCGAAGUGGCCACUGGACACCACGAUCUGGAAAAUCCUCCGCCCUUUCUCCGAAGUGGGGACUUUCUGGUCGUCUUUUCCCUUAAGUCUUGGACUGUGGCCAGCAUCACAGACCUCUCUCUCUCUCUCGCUGAAUGCUUUCACUUCCUCCCCGCCAGCUUCCAGUCUUCAAAAAUUCUGUUCAUUUC